rnacentral:rRNA from 1 species
UAGCUACAGGCUUAACACAUGCAAGUCGAGGGUUCAUCAGGAAGAAAGCUUGCUUUCUUUGCUGGCGACCGGCGCACGGGUGAGUAACACGUAUCCAACCUGCCCUUUACUCGGGGAUAGCCUUUCGAAAGAAAGAUUAAUACCCGAUAGCAUAAUGAUUCCGCAUGGUUUCAUUAUUAAAGGAUUCCGGUAAAGGAUGGGGAUGCGUUCCAUUAGGUUGUUGGUGGGGUAACGGCCCACCAAGCCUUCGAUGGAUAGGGGUUCUGAGAGGAAGGUCCCCCACAUUGGAACUGAGACACGGUCCAAACUCCUACGGGAGGCAGCAGUGAGGAAUAUUGGUCAAUGGGCGCUAGCCUGAACCAGCCAAGUAGCGUGAAGGAUGAAGGCUCUAUGGGUCGUAAACUUCUUUUAUAUAAGAAUAAAGUGCAGUAUGUAUACUGUUUUGUAUGUAUUAUAUGAAUAAGGAUCGGCUAACUCCGUGCCAGCAGCCGCGGUAAUACGGAGGAUCCGAGCGUUAUCCGGAUUUAUUGGGUUUAAAGGGAGCGUAGGUGGACUGGUAAGUCAGUUGUGAAAGUUUGCGGCUCAACCGUAAAAUUGCAGUUGAUACUGUCAGUCUUGAGUACAGAAGAGGUGGGCGGAAUUCGUGGUGUAGCGGUGAAAUGCUUAGAUAUCACGAAGAACUCCGAUUGCGAAGGCAGCUCACUGGACUGCAACUGACACUG